AUUGAACGCUGGCGGCAUGCUUUACACAUGCAAGUCGAACGGUAACAGGCCUUCGGGUGCUGACGAGUGGCGAACGGGUGAGUAAUGCAUCGGAACAUACCCAGUCGUGGGGGAUAACGUAGCGAAAGUUACGCUAAUACCGCAUACGUCCUGAGGGAGAAAGCGGGGGAUCGCAAGACCUCGCGCGAUUGGAGUGGCCGAUGUCAGAUUAGCUAGUUGGUGGGGCAAAGGCCCACCAAGGCGACGAUCUGUAGCGGGUCUGAGAGGAUGAUCCGCCACACUGGGACUGAGACACGGCCCAGACUCCUACGGGAGGCAGCAGUGGGGAAUUUUGGACAAUGGGGGAAACCCUGAUCCAGCCAUGCCGCGUGCGGGAAGAAGGCCUCGGUUGUAACGACGUUCUAGCCGGAAGAAAUACGCACGGACGUAAUACUACUGUGUGGAUGACGGUACCGGAACGGAAGAAAGCGACCGGCGUAACUACGUAGCC
rnacentral:rRNA from 1 species